rnacentral:tRNA from 1 species
UAGGCAGAAGCCAGGGGGUUUGGGCAUGUAGCUGUUAACUACAUUAUCAUGGGAUCGAAGCCCAUCUGUCUAG